rnacentral:rRNA from 1 species
AGCGGUGGAGCAUGUGGUUUAAUUNGNAGCAACGCGAAGNACCUUACCAANUCUUGACAUCNUNUGACCCNUCUAGAGAUAGAGUUUUCCCNUUNGGGGGACAGAGUGACAGGUGGUGCAUGGUUGUCNUCAGCUCGUGUCGUGAGAUGUUGGGUUAAGUCCCGCAACGAGCGCAACCCUUAAGCUUAGUUGCCAUCAUUAAGUUGGGCACUCUAAGUUGACUGCCGGUGACAAACCGGAGGAAGGUGGGGAUGACGUCAAAUCAUCAUGCCCCUUAUGAUUUGGGCUACACACGUGCUACAAUGGACAAUACAAAGGGCAGCGAAACCGCGAGGUCAAGCAAAUCCCAUAAAGUUGUUCUCAGUUCGGAUUGUAGUCUGCAACUCGACUAUAUGAAGCUGGAAUCGCUAGUAAUCGUAGAUCAGCAUGCUACGGUGAAUACGUUCCCGGGUCUUGUACACACCGCCCGUCACACCACGAGAGUUUGUAACACCCGAAGCC